AAUCACCAGAUAAAUAAAUUAGUGCUCAUUCUUGCCAGUUUCUACGCUAAUAUUUUCACUAUCUACAUUUUACAGAUAAAGAAAUUGAGAUUUACAAGGCAUCAGGUGACUGGUUUAGGUUCCUACAGCAAAUAGUGACAAAUCCAGACUAGAAAGCAUCUCAGGACUCUUUGAAAACAAAGACAAAAUUCCUAACCCAUCAUGGAAGAAGAGGCUCAAUAAAAGGUUCGCAGAAGAACUGACAAUGAGAUUGGUUCAAGUUGAGAAAACGUCAAACAUGUUCCCUAAGUUUACUGUAAGAUAAUGUAGAAAGCUGUUCAAAUUGCAUACCGAAUAAUCACUUCUUUAUUAUUAAAAAAUAAGGUAAGUGAAAACUUCACAAGUGCUCUUCAAAACCUUCAAUGCUAUUUUUUUCCAUUAGAAUAUGUUU
rnacentral:lncRNA from 1 species